GUGAGGAAUAUUGCGCAAUGGACGAAAGUCUGACGCAGCCAUGCCGCGUGAAGGAUUGACGGUCCUAUGGGUUGUAAACUUCUUUUGUAUAGGAAUAAACCCUCGUUCGUGAACGAGGCUGAAGGUACUAUAAGAAUAAGCACCGGCUAACUCCGUGCCAGCAGCCGCGGUAAUACGGAGGGUGCAAGCGUUAUCCGGAUUUAUUGGGUUUAAAGGGUCCGUAGGCGGAUCGUUAAGUCAGUGGUGAAAUCCUACCGCUCAACGGUAGAACUGCCAUUGAUACUAGCGAUCUUGAGUAUGUAUGAAGUUGGCGGAAUGUGUGGUGUAGCGGUGAAAUGCUUAGAUAUCACACAGAACACCGAUUGCGAAGGCAGCUGACUAAUACACAAAUGACGCUGAGGGACGAAAGUGUGGGGAUCAAACAGGAUUAGAUACCCUAGUAGUCC
rnacentral:rRNA from 1 species